rnacentral:other from 1 species
GACACUCUGCAGUGUUCGAGGUGUCUCGAAUUCGCUCUUUGCCUUUGAUACCAUUUGGGAGCCGCCAAGCGGCACGCGGAUGCCAGGCCGUAAACCGGAAGGCAGAAACGUGCCAGGUGGCGCCCACCUUAACCUAGAAGGUUUUGGAGCCACAGUAGACAUACGGCACAGGCGGAGUGUCA